AUUGAACGCUGGCGGCAGGCCUAACACAUGCAAGUCGAGCGGCAGCGGGACCUUCGGGUUGCCGGCGAGCGGCGGACGGGUGAGUAAUGCCUAGGAAUCUGCCUGUUAGUGGGGGAUAACGCGGGGAAACUCGCGCUAAUACCGCAUACGUCCUACGGGAGAAAGCGGGGGCUCUUCGGACCUCGCGCUAACAGAUGAGCCUAGGUCGGAUUAGCUAGUUGGUGGGGUAAUGGCUCACCAAGGCGACGAUCCGUAACUGGUCUGAGAGGAUGAUCAGUCACACUGGAACUGAGACACGGUCCAGACACAUACGGGAGGCAGGAGUGGGGAAUAUUGGACAAUGGGCGAAAGCCUGAUCCAGCCAUGCCGCGUGUGUGAAGAAGGUCUUCGGAUUGUAAAGCACUUUAAGUCGGGAGGAAGGGCUGCAGGUUAAUACCUUGCAGCCUUGACGUUACCGACAGAAUAAGCACCGGCUAACUUCGUGCCAGCCGCCGCGGUAA
rnacentral:rRNA from 1 species